UGACUUACGGUGGUUGAGUGGAUGCUCGAAGCCAGUCCUGUGUUUCCUCGUCUUGCGGAGUAACUCCUGUGACCCUGUUGCAUUGCGUCGCGUCGAUGCUUCCAACGUGACCCCAGGUCAGGCGGGACUACCCGCUGAAUUUAAGCAUAUCAAUAAGCGGAGGAAAAGAAACUAACAAGGAUUCCCCUAGUAACGGCGAGCGAACCGGGAAUAGCCCACCAUGAAAAUCGGUUGCCCUCGGCAUCCGAAUUGUAGUCUGGAGAAGCGUCCUCAGCGACGGACCGAGCCCAAGUCCCCUGGAAGGGGGCGCCAGAGAGGGUGAGAGCCCCGUUGUGCUCGGACCCUGUCGCACCACGAGGCGCUGUCAAAGAGUCGGGUUGUUUGAGAAUGCAGCCCUAAUCGGGUGGUAAAUUCCACCCAAGGCUAAAUAUUGGCGAGAGACCGAUAGCAAACAAGUACCGCGAGGGAAAGAUGAAAAGGACUUUGAAAAGAGAGUCAAAGAGUGCUUGAAAUUGCCGGGAGGGAAGCGGAUGGGGGCCGGCGAUGCGUCUCGGUCGGAUGUGGAACGGCUAUUAUCCGGUCCGCCGAUCGACUCGAGACGCGGAUCGACGCGGAUUGCGGCGGCGGCCCAAGCCCGGGCUGUCGAUAUGCUCGUGGAGAUGUCGUCGCCGCGAUCGUGGCUGGCAGCACGCGCCUGUUGGCGUGCCUCGGCACCUGCGUGCUCCCGGCAUCGGCCUGCGGGCUCCCCAUCCGGCCCGUCUUGAAACACGGACCAAGGAGUCUGACAUGUGUGCGAGUCAACGGGCGAGCAAACCCGUGAGGCGCAAGGAAGCUGACUG
rnacentral:rRNA from 1 species